GACCUCGGAUCAGGUAGGGAUACCCGCUGAACUUAAGCAUAUCAAUAAGCGGAGGAAAAGAAACCAACCGGGAUUGCCUCAGUAACGGCGAGUGAAGCGGCAAGAGCUCAAAUUUGAAAGCUGGCUCCUUCGGAGUCCGCAUUGUAAUUUGCAGAGGAUGCUUUGGGUGCGGCCCCCGUCUAAGUGCCCUGGAACGGGCCGUCAGAGAGGGUGAGAAUCCCGUCUUGGGCGGGGUGUCCGUGCCCGUGUAAAGCUCCUUCGACGAGUCGAGUUGUUUGGGAAUGCAGCUCUAAAUGGGUGGUAAAUUUCAUCUAAAGCUAAAUACUGGCCGGAGACCGAUAGCGCACAAGUAGAGUGAUCGAAAGAUGAAAAGCACUUUGAAAAGAGAGUUAAACAGCACGUGAAAUUGUUGAAAGGGAA
rnacentral:rRNA from 1 species